GAUUCUGGCUCAGGACGAACGCUGGCGGCAUGCUUCAUACAUGCAAGUCGAACGAUAAGGUCUCUUCGGAGAUACAUAAGUGGCGGACGGGUGAGUAAUAUGUAGGAAAUCUGCCCUAGAGAGGGGGACAACAGAGGGAAACUUCUGCUAAUACCCCAUAUGAGCGUACCUGAAAUGGUAUUCUUGAAAACUCCGGUGCUCUAGGAUGAGCCUGCAUCUGAUUAGCUUGUUGGCGGUGUAAUGGACCACCAAGGCGACGAUCAGUAGCUGGUUUGAGAGGAUGAUCAGCCACAAUGGGACUGAGACACGGCCCAUACUCCUACGGGAGGCAGCAGUAGGGAAUUUUGCGCAAUGGGCGAAAGCCUGACGCAGCAAUGCCGCGUGAACGUAGAAGCCCUUCGGGGUGUAAAGUUCUGUCAGUGGGGACGAAUUUUGACGGUACCCACAGAGGAAGCACCGGCUAACUCCGUGCCAGCAGCGGC
rnacentral:rRNA from 1 species